AGAGUUUGAUCCUGGCUCAGAUUGAACGCUGGCGGCAUGCCUAACACAUGCAAGUCGAACGGCAGCACGGUGUGUAGCAAUACAUGCUGACGAGCGGCGAACGGGUGAGUAAUGCUUUGGAAUCUUCCCAGUAGUGGGGAAUAACCAGUCGAAAGAUUGGCUAAUACCGCAUACGUCUGUUAAAGGGAAAGCGGGGGCUCGUAAGACCUCGCGCUGUUGGAUGAGCCAAAGUCGGAUUAGCUAGUUGGUGGGGUAAUGGCCUACCCAGGCGACAAUCCGUAGCUGGUCUGAGAGGACGACCAGCCACACCGGAACUGAGACACGGUCCGGACUCCUACGGGAGGCAGCAGUGGGGAAUAUCGGACAAUGGGGGACACCCUGAUCCAGCGACGCCGCGUGUGUGAAGAACGCCUGCGGGUAGUAAAGCACUUGUAGUG
rnacentral:rRNA from 1 species